rnacentral:rRNA from 1 species
GACGAACGCUGGCGGCGUGCUUAACACAUGCAAGUCGAACGGUAAGGCCCUUCGGGGUACACGAGUGGCGAACGGGUGAGUAACACGUGGGUGAUCUGCCCUGCACUUCGGGAUAAGCCUGGGAAACUGGGUCUAAUACCGGAUAGGACUCCGGACUGCAUGGUCUGGGGUGGAAAGCUUUUGCGGUGGGGGAUGGGCCCGCGGCCUAUCAGCUUGUUGGGGGGGUGAUGGCCUACCAAGGCGACGACGGGUAGCCGGCCUGAGAGGGUGACCGGCCAAACUGGGACUGAGAUCCGGCCCAGGCGCCAACGGGAGGCAGCAGUGGGGAAGAUUGCUCAAUGGGCGCAAGCCUGAUGCCGCGACGCCGCGUGAGGGAUGACGGCCUUCGGGUUGUAAACCUCUUUCAGCAUCGACGAAGCGAAAGUGACGGUAGGUGCAGAAGAAGGACCGGCCAACUACGUGCCAGCCGCCGCAGUAA